UGCCACAGCCAUAUCACUCUGCAGCCCAAGACUGGUUGCCCACUGAAGCUAAGCAGGGUUGAGCCUGGUCAGUACCUGGAUGGGAGACCUCCUGGGAAAACUAGGUUGCUGUUGGAA
rnacentral:rRNA from 1 species